rnacentral:sRNA from 1 species
ACCCAACCGGCUGCGCCCGAACUCGCCGGCCCCAACCUGCCCUGCGCGCAGCUGACCUGCCCGGCCGCCUCACCGGGCUCCCCGAGGGAAUCCCCGCUCGCUUAAUCCGCCAGAGUUCACCGCCCCGAAACUCAGGGCUCAGAGUGGCGUGGUGGAGGUGGGCGCGCACUGGAUCCAUGGGCCCUCCCGGGGUAACCCCGUCUUCCAGCUGGCUGCUGAGUACGGGCUGUUGGGGGAGAAGGAGCUGUCCGAGGAGAACCAGCUGGUGGAGACCGGGGGUCACGUGGGCCUGCCCUCCGUGAGCUACGCCAGCUCCGGGGCCAGCGUGAGCCUCCAGCUGGUGGCGGAGAUGGCGACUCUGUUCUACGGCCUGAUAGACCAGACCCGGGAGUUCCUGCACGCUGCAGAGACCCCGGUGCCCAGCGUCGGGGAGUACCUCAAGAAGGAGAUUGGCCGGCACGUGGCCGGCUGGACAGAGGAUGCGGAGACCAGGAAGCUGAAGCUGGCCGUCCUGAACUCCUUCUUCAACCUGGAAUGCUGUGUGAGCGGCACCCACAGCAUGGACCUGGUGGCCCUGGCACCCUUUGGGGAGUAUACCGUGCUGCCGGGGCUGGACUGCACCUUUUCUAAGGGCUACCAAGGACUCACAAACUGCAUGAUGGCUGCCCUGCCGGAGGACACUGUAGUUUUUGAGAAGCCUGUGAAGACCAUCCACUGGAACGGGUCCUUCCAGGAGGCAGCCUUUCCCGGUGAGACCUUUCCAGUGUCGGUAGAGUGUGAGGAUGGAGACCAGUUCCUGGCGCACCACGUCAUCGUCACCGUGCCCUUAGGUUUUCUUAAGGAACAUCUGGACACCUUCUUUGACCCUCCCCUGCCGGCUGAGAAGGCAGAAGCAAUCAGGAAGAUAGGCUUUGGGACCAACAACAAAAUCUUCCUGGAGUUUGAGGAGCCCUUCUGGGAGCCAGACUGCCAGCUGAUCCAGCUGGUGUGGGAGGACACGUCGCCCCUGGAGGAUGCUGCCCCUGAGCUACAGGACGCCUGGUUCCGGAAGCUCAUUGGCUUUGUGGUCCUACCUGCCUUUGCGUCUGUCCACGUUCUCUGUGGGUUCAUUGCCGGGCUUGAGUCUGAGUUCAUGGAGACUCUGUCAGAUGAAGAAGUACUUCUGUGUCUCACCCAAGUGCUCCGGAGAGUGACAGGAAACCCACGGCUCCCCGCGCCCAAGAGCGUCCUGCGGUCUCGCUGGCACAGCGCCCCGUACACUAGGGGGUCCUACAGCUACGUGGCCGUGGGCAGUACUGGGGGCGACCUGGACCUGCUGGCUCAGCCCCUCCCUGCAGACGGCACCGGCGCCCAGCUCCAGAUCCUGUUUGCGGGGGAAGCCACACAUCGCACGUUUUACUCCACGACGCACGGGGCUCUGCUGUCGGGAUGGAGGGAGGCCGACCGCCUCCUCAGUCUGUGGGCCCCGCAGGUGCAGCAGCCCAGGCCGAGGCUCUAGCUGGGCCCAGCCUACUCUGUUCCACCCGUGUCGGGGGAGGCUGGGACCCUCAUUUCCUCUGACAGAUUUCAGUCUGGCUUGAGAUUUGGGGAUGUUAAUGAGGGUCCUCUGGUUUUUGGUAACCGGGGCCACCUUCUCAGUUCUUGUGUCUGUUAUUGGAGUCUGGCCAGGGUUGACUUGAGCUGAGACACCAGAUGCUCACGGAGAUGCUGGACACAUAAAGCAAGUUACAGCCACA